GGGCGGGCCGCGGAGGGCGGUGCGGGAGGGGCGGGGCGGAGCGGGGCGCGCGGGGUUCGGGUCUGGCCGGCGGCUGCGCCGUGUGGGCCGCGUGGCUGGGCGAGCGAGUUGGCAGCCGCCGGGGACGCGAGCGCCGCCCGGAAAGCCGAGCGGGCCCCCGGCGGGCCCGGGAGUCGGCGUCCGGGCUGCAGGUGCACGCUCGCGGAGAGGCGAGGAGCCCGGGCCGAGGAGGGAGGCUUGGGGCCGAGCGGAGCCCGGCGCGCUGUGCCCGGAGAGGCGAGGCCGAAGGAGGCCCGAGGAGAAGCCCGGCCGGGCGCGCGGGGGCUCUGCAGGGUGCGGCCCGAAGUCGUGCGGGGAGGGGUGCGGAGAGACGGCGGGACGGGGGGCGCGGUGCCAGGGCCCCUCGGGCUUGGAGCACCUGCUGCGGCCCGAAGGCCCUCGGCUCCGCUUCCCACAGGCCCGGGGGAUGUUGCCGGAGGUCGGGGUUUUGAGUGUCGACAGAUCUGCAUUCGGAUAGUGAAGCUGGAAGUGCGGCAGGGAGGCUGACACCUUGGGGAACAGCUCAGAGCUGUGCCUGGGGUGGGUGGGGCUGGGCUUUGCGGACUGGCGACUUUGCCAGAGUGGAUCGCCCGAUGCCAGAGGCCUCGGAAGGACCAGGGUGGAGGGGAGGAGCAGGACCCGACCGCCGGGAGGUCGCUCAAAGGCCCGGUGGUGUGGAGGGUGUGGCUGGGUUUGAGGGGCCCAGCAAGCCCGGCCUAGGUCCCCGGGACGGGAGGCCGAUGCGGUCCGGUCGCUGGGGUCGCGGUCGCAGAAGGGAUCCCCCAGGAUGUCUCUCUUUGGCCAUCCCAACCUUGGCCACCAGAGGGAGUUUACUAAAGUCGAGUAUGGCUCGUCCCUGCUUAAAAGUCGAGCUCGGGAGUGGGGCCAGCACUGAGGAAGGUCCAACUGCUGGGCUCCUGCCUGCCCGUGAACCUCACCCCAGCCUUCCCUGCAACCUACCUCAGGUGCACAAGAGGAAGCAGAGCACCAGCAGUUGCCAUUACGGGGAACUAGUAAAAAGCCUGGCUGUCGAGCAGUGGUUUCACCAAGAAGCAUUCAUGAGUUCUUCCCCUCAGAUUAGGAAGGGCACAAGCCUGACUUCGUGGCACUCAUCCCACACAAGUUAG
rnacentral:lncRNA from 1 species